rnacentral:rRNA from 1 species
CGCGUAGGUGGCUAAUUAAGUCAAAUGUGAAAUCCCCGAGCUUAACUUGGGAAUUGCAUUCGAUACUGGUUGGCUAGAGUAUGGGAGAGGAUGGUAGAAUUCCAGGUGUAGCGGUGAAAUGCGUAGAGAUCUGGAGGAACACCAAAGGCGAAGGCAAGUUUCUGGGAGAUAAUUGACGCUGAGGCGCGAAAGUGUGGGGAGCAAACAGGAUUAGAUACCCGUGUA